GGAUGCGAUCAUAUCAACACUAAAGCACCAGAUCCCAUCAAAACUCCGAAGUUAAGCGUGCUUGGGCGAGAGUAGUACUAGGAUGGGUGACCUCCUGAGAAGUCCUCGUGUUGCAUUCC
rnacentral:rRNA from 2 species